rnacentral:tRNA from 1 species
GGCGGGAUAGCUCAGUUGGCAGAGCAAGGGACUCAUAAGCCCUGGGUCGGGGGUUCAAUUCCCUCUCCCGCCACCA